UCGAUGAGUAGGAGGGCGCGGC
rnacentral:siRNA from 1 species